AAUCAAGCGCGAAAAGGGCGUUUGGUGAAUGCCUUGGCAGUAAGAGGCGAUGAAGGACGUGAUACUCUGCGAUAAGCUAGGGGGAGCCGAGAAUAGGCUUUGAUCCCUGGAUUUCCGAAUGGGGCAACCCACCUGACAGUUUUCCUAUUAUUACUUCGGUAAUUAAUAGGUGGCUGAGCCAGGUAUUUUUAGGCUGAAUAUAUAGGCUUAAAAAAGCAAACCCGGGGAACUGAAACAUCUAAGUACCCGGAGGAAAGGACAGCAAUAGCGACUUCCCUAGUAGCGGCGAGCGAACGGGAACCAGCCGAGCCAUGAAUGUGAUCAGAAGGACCUGGAAAGGUCCGCCAUAGUGGGUGACAGCCCCGUAUGAGAAGCAUGAUUGGACGUAUCAAGUAGGGCGGGACACGUGAAAUCCUGUCUGAAGAUCGGAGGACCACCUUCGAAGGCUAAGUACUCCUUACUGACCGAUAGUGAACCAGUACCGUGAGGGAAAGGUGAAAAGCACCCCGACGAGGGGAGUGAAACAGUCCCUGAAACCGAACGCCUACAAGCAGUCGGAGCUUGACUGGAGUUUAAUUUGGAGAUGAAUAGAACGCAUGAAACGUUUUAUUUUUCUCGCAGCGAUCUGGAUCGCACCCGCAACCGAAGCCCAACAGGUUAUCGGAGGCCUAGGGUGGGAUGAAGAUGGCCAUGGGAUCCAUGGCACCAUCGAGUACAAUGUAACCCCGUUCCACAGCACGAACCGCUUCCAAGCGGCGCUGGCAGUGGCGGCAAGGAUUGAUCAAGAUGGUGAUGCAUGGAUCGGCGCCGGUGUUGCGCUGGAACGACAUCUCAGCGAGCGUGUGUUCGUCGAGUUUUCGUUCAUGCCGGGCUAUUACCACGAACAGGAUGAUGUCCUGGGCGGGGCGUUGCAGUACCGGUCGCUGAUCGGGCUCGGGUAUGACCUGAGCGAAACGUCGGCGAUCUCAGUCUCGAUCGACCACCUGUCAAACGGUGGAGCCGAAGACUUCAACCCAGGAUCAGAAGCCAUAGCCAUCCGCUAUCGCCUUCGGUUCUGACCUCCAAAUUAAUCUCCAGUCGGGUGACGGCGUACCUUUUGUAUAAUGGGUCAUCGACUUGGUCUCACGAGCAAGCUUAAGCCGUUAGGUGUAGGCGCAGCGAAAGCGAGUCUUAAUAGGGCGUUGAGUUCGUGGGAUCAGACCCGAAACCGAGUGAUCUAGGCAUGUCCAGGAUGAAGGUAAGGUAACACUUACUGGAGGUCCGAACCCACACCUGUUGAAAAAGGUCGGGAUGAGGUGUGCCUAGGGGUGAAAGGCCAAUCAAACUCGGAGAUAGCUGGUUCUCCGCGAAAUCUAUUUAGGUAGAGCGUCGACCGAAUACCACGGGGGGUAGAGCACUGGAUGGGUAAUGGGGCCCCACAGGCUUACUGAUCCUAACCAAACUCCGAAUACCCGUGAGUACUAGUCGGCAGACACACAGUGGAUGCUAACGUCCAUUGUGGAGAGGGAAACAACCCUGACCUCCAGCUAAGGCCCCUAAUUCAUGGCUAAGUGGGAAAGCAGGUGGGACGACCAAAACAACCAGGAGGUUGGCUUAGAAGCAGCCAUCCUUUAAAGAUAGCGUAACAGCUCACUGGUCUAAAUAAGUUGUCCUGCGGCGAAGAUGUAUCGGGGCUCAAGCCAUGAGCCGAAGCUGAGGAUGCACAUAGUGCAUGGUAGCGGAGCGUAGUGUGACAUAAGACUUAUCUUUAUUACUGCACUAAGGGUGUGCGGGCAUUCGUGUCCAAGCAGUCGAUAGGCGGUAGCAAAAGAUACAGUCUUUUCUGUGAAGCCGGGGCGUGAGCCAUCCGGUGGAGAGAUCACUAGUGAGAAUGAUGACAUGAGUAGCGACAAACAGGGUGAGAGACCCUGUCGCCGAAAGUCCAAGGGUUCCUGCUUAAAGCUAAUCUGAGCAGGGUAAGCCGACCCCUAAGGCGAGGCCGAAAGGCGUAGUCGAUGGGAACCAGGUUAAUAUUCCUGGGCCAGCCAGUAGUGACGGUUCGUGAAGAUUGUUCACCCUUAUUGGAUUGGGUGGGCCGUUAAUCGGAUCCUGGAAAUAGCUCUGGCAUAAGAUCGUACCCUAAACCGACACAGGUGGACUGGUAGAGAAUACCAAGGCGCUUGAGAGAACGAUGUUGAAGGAACUCGGCAAAAUACCUCCGUAAGUUCGCGAGAAGGAGGCCCAGUUUCUACGCAAGUAUUGACUGGGGGCACAAACCAGGGGGUGGCGACUGUUUACUAAAAACACAGGGCUCUGCGAAGUCGCAAGACGACGUAUAGGGUCUGACGCCUGCCCGGUGCCUGAAGGUUAAAAGGAGAGGUGCAAGCCUUGAAUUGAAGCCCAGGUAAACGGCGGCCGUAACUAUAACGGUCCUAAGGUAGCGAAAUUCCUUGUCGGGUAAGUUCCGACCUGCACGAAUGGCGUAACGACUUCCCCGCUGUCUCCAACAUCGACUCAGCGAAAUUGAAUUGCCUGUCAAGAUGCAGGCUUCCCGCGGUUAGACGGAAAGACCCCGUGCACCUUUACUACAGCUUCAGACUGGUAACAGGACUGGGAUGUGCAGGAUAGGUGGUAGGCUUUGAAGCAGGAACGCUAGUUUCUGUGGAGCCAUCCUUGAGAUACCACCCUUCGCAUUCUUGUUAUCUAACCGCGGUCCGUUAUCCGGAUCCGGGACCCUCUGUGGCGGGUAGUUUGACUGGGGCGGUCGCCUCCUAAAGAGUAACGGAGGCGCGCGAAGGUUGGCUCAGAGCGGUCGGAAAUCGCUCGUUGAGUGCAAUGGCAGAAGCCAGCCUGACUGCGAGACUGACAAGUCGAGCAGAGUCGAAAGACGGCCAUAGUGAUCCGGUGGUCCCGAGUGGAAGGGCCAUCGCUCAACGGAUAAAAGGUACGCCGGGGAUAACAGGCUGAUGGUGCCCAAGAGUCCAUAUCGACGGCACCGUUUGGCACCUCGAUGUCGGCUCAUCUCAUCCUGGGGCUGGAGCAGGUCCCAAGGGUACGGCUGUUCGCCGUUUAAAGAGGUACGUGAGCUGGGUUUAGAACGUCGUGAGACAGUUCGGUCCCUAUCUGCCGUGGGUGUAGGAUACUUGAGAGGAGUUGCCCCUAGUACGAGAGGACCGGGGUGAACGAUCCACUGGUGUACCAGUUGUUCCGCCAGGAGCAGUGCUGGGUAGCUAUGAUCGGAAAGGAUAACCGCUGAAGGCAUCUAAGCGGGAAGCCCCCCUCAAAACAAGGUAUCCCUGAGAACCGAGGUAGACCACCUCGUCGAUAGGCCAGAGAUGUAAGCGUGGUAACACGCUCAGUUGACUGGUACUAAUUGUUCGAUAGGCUUGAUUUG
rnacentral:rRNA from 1 species